GAUGAAGAACGUAGCGAAAUGCGAUAAGUAAUGUGAAUUGCAGAAUUCAGUGAAUCAUCGAAUCUUUGAACGCACAUUGCGCCCGCCAGUAUUCUGGCGGGCAUGCCUGUUCGAGCGUCAUUACAACCCUCAGGCCCCCGGGCCUGGCGUUGGGGAUCGGCGGAGCCCCCCGUGGGCACACGCCGUCCCCCAAAUGCAGUGGCGGUCCCGCCGCAGCUUCCAUCGCGUAGUAGCUAACACCUCGCGACUGGAGAGCGGCGCGGCCACGCCGUAAAACACCCAACUCUUCUGAAGUUGACCUCGAAUCAGGUAGGAAUACCCGCUGAACUCAAGCAUAUCAAUAAGCGGAGGA
rnacentral:misc_RNA from 1 species